rnacentral:rRNA from 1 species
UACACUCCUACGGGAGGCAGCAGUGGGGAAUUUUGGACAAUGGGCGAAAGCCUGAUCCAGCAAUGCCGCGUGAGUGAAGAAGGCCUUCGGGUUGUAAAGCUCUUUUGUCAGGGAAGAAACGGUGAAAGCUAAUAUCUUUUGCUAAUGACGGUACCUGAAGAAUAAGCACCGGCUAACUACGUGCCAGCAGCCGCGGUAAUACGUAGGGUGCAAGCGUUAAUCGGAAUUACUGGGCGUAAAGCGUGCGCAGGCGGUUUUGUAAGUCUGAUGUGAAAUCCCCGGGCUCAACCUGGGAAGUGCAUUGGAGACUGCAAGGCUAGAAUCUGGCAGAGGGGGGUAGAAUUCCACGUGUAGCAGUGAAAUGCGUAGAUAUGUGGAGGAACACCGAUGGCGAAGGCAGCCCCCUGGGUCAAGAUUGACGCUCAUGCACGAAAGCGUGGGGAGCAAACAGGAUUAGAAACCCUUGUAGUCCCA